rnacentral:rRNA from 1 species
UUCGAUGAUACGCGAGGAACCUUACCUGGGCGUCGAACGUAAGAUGACUGUAGGUGAAAGCUUACAUCUCUUCGGAGCAUUUUACGCGGUGCUGCAUGGUUGUCGUCAGCUCGUGCCGUGAGGUGUCGGGUUAAGUCCCAUAACGAGCGCAACCCCUACCUUUAGUUGCCAUCAGGUAAUGCUGGGGACUCUAAAGGAACUGCCUACGCAAGUAGUGAGGAAGGCGGGGAUGACGUCAAAUCAGCACGGCCCUUACGUCCAGGGCUACACACGUGCUACAAUGGCCGAUACAGUGGGCAGCUACCUGGUGACAGGAUGCAAAUCUCCAAAGUCGGUCUCAGUUCGGAUCGGAGUCUGCAACCCGACUCCGUGAAGUUGGAUUCGCUAGUAAUCGCGCAUCAGCCAUGGCGCGGUGAAUACGUUCCCGGGCCUU